GGCGCAAGCCUGAUCCAGCCAUGCCGCGUGCGGGAAGAAGGCCUUCGGGUUGUAAACCGCUUUUGUCAGGGAAGAAAUCUUUUGGGUUAAUACCUCGGAAGGAUGACGGUACCUGAAGAAUAAGCACCGGCUAACUACGUGCCAGCAGCCGCGGUAAUACGUAGGGUGCGAGCGUUAAUCGGAAUUACUGGGCGUAAAGCGUGCGCAGGCGGUCUUGCAAGACAGGUGUGAAAUCCCCGGGCUUAACCUGGGAACUGCACUUGUGACUGCAAGGCUGGAGUACGGCAGAGGGGGAUGGAAUUCCGCGUGUAGCAGUGAAAUGCGUAGAUAUGCGGAGGAACACCGAUGGCGAAGGCAAUCCCCUGGGCCUGUACUGACGCUCAUGCACGAAAGCGUGGGGAGCAAACAGGAUUAGAUACCCUGGUAGUCCACGCCCUAAACGAUGUCAACUGGUUGUUGGACGGCUUGCUGUUCAGUAACGAAGCUAACGCGUGAAGUUGACCGCCUGGGGAGUACGGCCGCAAGGUUGAAACUCAAAUGAAUUGACGGA
rnacentral:rRNA from 1 species